rnacentral:misc_RNA from 1 species
GAAAUGCGAUAAGUAAUGUGAAUUGUAGAAUUCAGUGAAUCAUCUAAUCUUUGAACGCACCUUGCGCUCCUUGGUAUUCCUUGGAGCAUGCCUGUUUGAGUAUCAUGAAAUCUUCAAAGUAAAUCUUUUGUUAACUCAAUUGGUUUCUACUUUGGUAUUGGAGGUCUUUGCAGCUUCACACCUGCUCCUCUUUGUUCAUUAGCUGGAUCUCAGUGUUAUGCUUGGUUCCACUCGGCGUGAUAAGUUAUCUAUCGCUGAGGACACUGUAAAAGGUGGCCAAGGUAAAUGCAGAUGAACCGCUUCUAAUAGUCCAUUGACUUGGACAAUACUUUUAUGAUCUGAUCUCAAAUCAGGUAGGACUACCCGCUGAACUUAAGC